rnacentral:rRNA from 1 species
CUACAGAAGUUAUCUAAGUCCGACGUGAACCCCAUCGUGUUCAACCGUGGAGGGUCAUUGGAAACUGGGAAACUUGAGUGCAGAAGAGGAAAGUGGAAUUCCAUGUGUAGCGGUGAAAUGCGCAAAGAUAUGGAGGAACACCAGUGGCGAAGGCGACUUUCUGGUCUGUAACUGACGCUGAUGUGCGAAAGCGUGGGGAUCAAACAGGAUUAGAUACCCUGGUAGUCCACGCCGUAAACGAUGAGUGCUAAGUGUUAGGGGGUUUCCGCCCCUUAGUGCUGCAGCUAACGCAUUAAGCACUCCGCCUGGGGAGUACGACCGCAAGGUUGAAACUCAAAGGAAUUGACGGGGACCCGCACAAGCGGUGGAGCAUGUGGUUUAAUUCAAAGCAACACAAAGAACCUGACCAAAUCUUGACAUCCUUUGAAAACUCAAAAGAUAGAGCCUUCCCCUUCGGGGGACAAAGUGGCA